rfam:Apaloderma vittatum contig17189, whole genome shotgun sequence.
GGUCCGGUUAGCUCAGUGGUUUGAGCACCGUGCUGGCAACAAUGACCAACACCGAGGUCACGGGUUCGAUUCCCGCUCGGUCCC